rnacentral:lncRNA from 1 species
AGGAAUAAGGAACACUGAGUGACUCGAGAGGGUUUGUUGGAAAGGCAUUCUCGGAGAAGAAGAAGAGUUAUGUAUGUCUGCCUUGAAAUGGAGGGUGAAGGGUACCAUUUAUAGGAAUUAAUAACCGGUACUAUUCUUUCAUUCUUGUCAGCAACCGUUGGAUAUUUAAUAGUGAACUUCAUGUGCUUUCUACUUCACAAGAGAUCUUCGACAGAUUGCCCGUAAUUUUCGCAAGGCUGAGUCUGCA